GGUCAAGCGAGUAAGUGCACACGGCGGAUGCCUUGGCACAGACCGGCGAUGAAGGACGUGGCAAGCUGCGAAAAUCCUCGGGGAGCUGCAAGCAAGCACAGAUCCGGGGGUGUCCGAAUGGGGCAACCCGGCGGGAGCAAUCCCGUCACCCUUAGGGGAGCUAACCCAGGGAACUGAAACAUCUAAGUACCUGGAGGAAAAGAAAUCAAUCGAGAUUCCCAAAGUAGCGGCGAGCGAAAUGGGAAGAGCCCAAACCCGGGUGGGGUGACUCAACCGGGGGUUGUGGGGCCGUAUCAUCAGGCGAGACGAAAGCAUAGCGGAACGGUACUGGAACGUACGACCGCAGAGGGUGAGAGUCCCGUAUGCGAAAUGCGAGUAGGCGAGCUGAUGCGGACCCCGAGUAGGCCGGGACACGUGAAACCCUGGCUGAAUCCGGGAGGACCAUCUUCCAAGGCUAAAUACGAGUCUGUGACCGAUAGUGAAGAGUACCGUGAGGGAAAGGUGAAAAGAACGCCUGACGGCGAGUGAAAUAGACCCUGAAACCGUGUGCAUACAAGCGGUCGGAGCCCGACCCGGAUCUUCGGAUUCCCGGGGGUGGGUGACGGCGUGCCUUUUGCAUUAUGAUCCGGCGAGUUACUCCUCAUGCGCGAGGUUAAGGGCCUCAGGUCCGGAGCCGAAGCGAAAGCGAGUCUGAAUAGGGCGACGAGUGCAUGGGGGUAGACCCGAAACCGAAGCGAUCUAUCCAUGGCCAGGGUGAAGCCGGGGUAACACCUGGUGGAGGCCCGAACCGUUGUGGGUUGAAAACUGCUCGGAUGAGCUGUGGAUAGGGGUGAAAGGCCAAUCAAGCUCGGAGAUAGCUGGUUCUCCCCGAAAUAUAUUUAGGUAUAGCCUCAGGUAAUUGUCUCCAGGAGGUAGAGCACUGGAUGGGCUAGGGGCCUCACCAGGUUACCGAACCCAACCAAACUCCGAAUUCCUGCGAGAUCUAUCCUGGGAGUCAGUGGUCGGGCGAUAAUGUCCGUCUGCGAGAGGGAAAGACCCCAGACCGUCAGCUAAGGCCCCAAAAUCCGUGCUAAGUGAGAAAGGAUGUGGAUGCGCUUAGACAGCUAGGAGGUUGGCUUAGAAGCAGCAAUGCCUUUAAAGAGUGCGUAAUAGCUCACUAGUCAAGUGGAUCCGCGCCGAUAAUGGUCGGGACUCAAGCAUGGUGCCGAAGCUACGGAUGACGCAAGUCAUGGUAGGGGAGCAUUCCCUGGUCAGCGAAGCGGACUCGGAAGAGCAUCCGUGGAGAGCAGGGAAGAGAGUAUGCCGGAAUGAGUACGCGAUAAACAG
rnacentral:rRNA from 1 species